UUUAGAACAGUCGAUAAACUUUGUGUCGAGUUUGAUGUCUGUAAUAUCGAGUUAUUAACUUUUGAAAACUCCUUUGUUGGUUUCGCGCCAAACGACAUUAGCGUAAAAUGGCAGUUGGCCCGUUCGCAUAGUAUAUUAUUGUGGAAACACACACGCUGUAGAGUAUGUUUAAGUUUACUUUGGCCCUGAACACCUAACGUACAUGUUUAAGAAUGUAUUUAAUGUGAUUAAGAGUUAGAUGACCUAAUGAUAGGAUAUUUUAGAGUAGGCUAUAAGAAAAGUGUUGAUAUGAUGUUUUAUAAUUAAAUGUUUAGUCGGUCUGUUAGGCAGGCAAAUCCAUUGUAGUUCCGACUGUGGUGUAAUGUUAAUUCCCUAGGUGCUGUUUAUUGUCUUGUUAUGGUUUAUUGUGGUUUAAAGCCAAAAUAUGUUAUUUCUAUUAUAGGAACAGAACAGUAUUUAAUUGCACUGUGAGAUAGCUCAAAACAACCAGCGAAUAAGCUGAAACAGGAACUUUAACUUUAAUGUGGAUUUUGAUAAAAAGGAGUUCUGUAUUGAUUUUAAGGUGAACUAAGAGUGGAGAGAAACGGUACAUGUGAGCCUCACUUUUUAUUGCACUUUUUAUGUUUUAUUUGCAGAGAACUUACAAAGGAAUAAUAUACAAUUUAACAGGCACUUUAACGAGGGAAGAGUUUAUAUUUAUUUAUUUAUUAUUUUAUUUAUUUAUGUGUUACUCAUGAUAAUUGUGAAAUAAAGAGACGGAUUUCGAAGACCAAACAAGAGCAGUGCCGCUUCAGUCCUUCCCUAACAUGUAUACCUGCUUUUCAGGGAGUCCGGUCUCAACACUCUAUUUGUUACCCCCGUCCUGGCCACUUGGGACCGGUAACACCGGCACAUAACGCAUAGGAGUCGGUCUGUCACGAAUGAAGUACCAUCCCAUCGAAAAUGAUUGUGCCAAAGUCAAGUCACUGAUUUUGUCCACCUAUUCUUA